AGUGAACGCUGGCGGUAGGCCUAACACAUGCAAGUCGAACGGCAGCACAGUAAGAGCUUGCUCUUACGGGUGGCGAGUGGCGGACGGGUGAGGAAUACAUCGGAAUCUACUUUUUCGUGGGGGAUAACGUAGGGAAACUUACGCUAAUACCGCAUACUACCUACGGGUGAAAGCAGGGGAUCUUCGGACCUUUCGCGAUUGAAUGAGCCGAUGUCGGAUUAGCUAGUUGGCGGGGUAAAGGCCCACCAAGGCGACGAUCCGUAGCUGGUCUGAGAGGAUGAUCAGCCACACUGGAACUGAGACACGGUCCAGACUCCUACGGGAGGCAGCAGUGGGGAAUAUUGGACAAUGGGCGCAAGCCUGAUCCAGCCAUACCGCGUGGGUGAAGAAGGCCUUCGGGUUGUAAAGCCCUUUUGUUGGGAAAGAAAAGCAGCAGGUUAAUACCCCGCUGUUCUGACGGUACCCAAAGAAUAAGCACCGGCUAACUUCGUG
rnacentral:rRNA from 1 species